CAGCAGCCGCGGGAAUACGGAGGGUGCAAGCGUUAUCCGGAUUUAUUGGGUUUAAAGGGUCCGUAGGCGGAUCUGUAAGUCAGUGGUGAAAUCUCACAGCUUAACUGUGAAACUGCCAUUGAUACUGCAGGUCUUGAGUAAAUUUGAAGUGGCUGGAAUAAGUAGUGUAGCGGUGAAAUGCAUAGAUAUUACUUAGAACACCAAUUGCGAAGGCAGGUCACUAAGAUUUAACUGACGCUGAUGGACGAAAGCGUGGGGAGCGAACAGGAUUAGAGACCCCCGUAGUCCCUGUCUCUUAUAC
rnacentral:rRNA from 1 species